rnacentral:rRNA from 1 species
GGUUAAGCGACUAAGCGUACACGGUGGAUGCCCUGGCAGUCAGAGGCGAUGAAGGGCGUGCUAAUCUGCGAUAAGCGCCGGUAAGGUGAUAUGAACCGUUAUAACCGGCGAUACCCGAAUGGGGAAACCCAGUGUGACUCGUCACACUAUCAUUAACUGAAUCCAUAGGUUAAUGAGGCGAACCGGGGGAACUGAAACAUCUAAGUACCCCGAGGAAAAGAAAUCAACCGAGAUUCCCCCAGUAGCGGCGAGCGAACGGGGAGGAGCCCAGAGCCUGAAUCAGCAUGUGUGUUAGUGGAAGCGUCUGGAAAGGCGCGCGAUACAGGGUGACAGCCCCGUACACAAAAGCGCAUGUGCUGUGAGCUCGAUGAGUAGGGCGGGACACGUGGUAUCCUGUCUGAAUAUGGGGGGACCAUCCUCCAAGGCUAAAUACUCCUGACUGACCGAUAGUGAACCAGUACCGUGAGGGAAAGGCGAAAAGAACCCCGGCGAGGGGAGUGAAAAAGAACCUGAAACCGUGUACGUACAAGCAGUGGGAGCCCCACCACCAAAGCAUUCUCUGGUGUUGAAGGCCCUGCAAAGCAGCAUCGCGGUGGCGGAGCGUCGUUUGCGACGCCCAACACACAAAACAAGCGGUGAGUGCUUUGGGGUGGGGUGACUGCGUACCUUUUGUAUAAUGGGUCAGCGACUUAUAUUCUGUAGCAAGGUUAACCGAAUAGGGGAGCCGGAGGGAAACCGAGUCUUAAUUGGGCGUUAAGUUGCAGGGUAUAGACCCGAAACCCGGUGAUCUAGCCAUGGGCAGGUUGAAGGUUGGGUAACACUAACUGGAGGACCGAACCGACUAAUGUUGAAAAAUUAGCGGAUGACCUGUGGCUGGGGGUGAAAGGCCAAUCAAACCGGGAGAUAGCUGGUUCUCCCCGAAAGCUAUUUAGGUAGCGCCUCGUGAAUUCAUCUCCGGGGGUAGAGCACUGUUUCGGCUAGGGGGCCAUCCCGGCUUACCAACCCGAUGCAAACUGCGAAUACCGGAGAAUGUUAUCACGGGAGACACACGGCGGGUGCUAACGUCCGUCGUGAAGAGGGAAACAACCCAGACCGCCAGCUAAGGUCCCAAAGUCAUGGUUAAGUGGGAAACGAUGUGGGAAGGCCCAGACAGCCAGGAUGUUGGCUUAGAAGCAGCCAUCAUUUAAAGAAAGCGUAAUAGCUCACUGGUCGAGUCGGCCUGCGCGGAAGAUGUAACGGGGCUAAACCAUGCACCGAAGCUGCGGCAGCGACACUCAGGUGUUGUUGGGUAGGGGAGCGUUCUGUAAGCCUGCGAAGGUGGCCUGUGAGGGUUGCUGGAGGUAUCAGAAGUGCGAAUGCUGACAUAAGUAACGAUAAAGCGGGUGAAAAGCCCGCUCGCCGGAAGACCAAGGGUUCCUGUCCAACGUUAAUCGGGGCAGGGUGAGUCGACCCCUAAGGCGAGGCCGAAAGGCGUAGUCGAUGGGAAACGGGUUAAUAUUCCCGUACUUGGUGUUACUGCGAAGGGGGGACGGAGAAGGCUAUGUUGGCCGGGCGACGGUUGUCCCGGUUUAAGCGUGUAGGUGUGUGUUCCAGGUAAAUCCGGUUCACUUUAACACUGAGGCGUGACGACGAGGCACUACGGUGCUGAAGCAACAAAUGCCCUGCUUCCAGGAAAAGCCUCUAAGCAUCAGGUAACAUCAAAUCGUACCCCAAACCGACACAGGUGGUCAGGUAGAGAAUACCAAGGCGCUUGAGAGAACUCGGGUGAAGGAACUAGGCAAAAUGGUGCCGUAACUUCGGGAGAAGGCACGCUGACACGUAGGUGAAGUGAUUUACUCAUGGAGCUGAAGUCAGUCGAAGAUACCAGCUGGCUGCAACUGUUUAUUAAAAACACAGCACUGUGCAAACACGAAAGUGGACGUAUACGGUGUGACGCCUGCCCGGUGCCGGAAGGUUAAUUGAUGGGGUCAGCGCAAGCGAAGCUCCUGAUCGAAGCCCCGGUAAACGGCGGCCGUAACUAUAACGGUCCUAAGGUAGCGAAAUUCCUUGUCGGGUAAGUUCCGACCUGCACGAAUGGCGUAAUGAUGGCCAGGCUGUCUCCACCCGAGACUCAGUGAAAUUGAACUCGCUGUGAAGAUGCAGUGUACCCGCGGCAAGACGGAAAGACCCCGUGAACCUUUACUAUAGCUUGACACUGAACAUUGAGCCUUGAUGUGUAGGAUAGGUGGGAGGCUUUGAAGUGUGGACGCCAGUCUGCAUGGAGCCGACCUUGAAAUACCACCCUUUAAUGUUUGAUGUUCUAACGUGGACCCGUAAUCCGGGUUGCGGACAGUGUCUGGUGGGUAGUUUGACUGGGGCGGUCUCCUCCUAAAGAGUAACGGAGGAGCACGAAGGUUGGCUAAUCCUGGUCGGACAUCAGGAGGUUAGUGCAAUGGCAUAAGCCAGCUUGACUGCGAGCGUGACGGCGCGAGCAGGUGCGAAAGCAGGUCAUAGUGAUCCGGUGGUUCUGAAUGGAAGGGCCAUCGCUCAACGGAUAAAAGGUACUCCGGGGAUAACAGGCUGAUACCGCCCAAGAGUUCAUAUCGACGGCGGUGUUUGGCACCUCGAUGUCGGCUCAUCACAUCCUGGGGCUGAAGUAGGUCCCAAGGGUAUGGCUGUUCGCCAUUUAAAGUGGUACGCGAGCUGGGUUUAGAACGUCGUGAGACAGUUCGGUCCCUAUCUGCCGUGGGCGCUGGAGAACUGAGGGGGGCUGCUCCUAGUACGAGAGGACCGGAGUGGACGCAUCACUGGUGUUCGGGUUGUCAUGCCAAUGGCACUGCCCGGUAGCUAAAUGCGGAAGAGAUAAGUGCUGAAAGCAUCUAAGCACGAAACUUGCCCCGAGAUGAGUUCUCCCUGAGACUUAGAGUCUCCUGAAGGAACGUUGAAGACGACGACGUUGAUAGGCCGGGUGUGUAAGCGCAGCGAUGCGUUGAGCUAACCGGUACUAAUGAACCGUGAGGCUUAACCUU